AAAAAAAGUAAACUAUGGUUUCCGUGUCCAACUUUAAUUGUCCGUCUUAUAUGAAUUUUUUUUAUAAUUUAUAUUUUUAUUAUGGUUAGAUGAUAAAACAUGAUUAAUAUUUUAUGCGUGACUUGUAUUUUUUUUAUAAUUUUUUCAAAUAAGACGGACGGAGUUUUA
rfam:Oryza glaberrima chromosome 4 Oglab04_0242_3, whole genome shotgun sequence.